rnacentral:rRNA from 1 species
AAUCUAGUUACUAGUAAAGCUUUUGCGGUUCGGGAGUGGCCUGCGGCCUAUCAGCUUGUUGGUGAGGUAAUGGCUCACCAAGGCUAUGACGGGUAUCUGGUGUGAGAGCACGACCAGACAGAAUGGGACUGAGACACGGCCCAUACUCCUACGGGAGGCAGCAGUGAGGAAUUUUCCGCAAUGGGCGAAAGCCUGACGGAGCAAUCCCGCGUGCAGGAUGACACCUUUCGGGGCGUAAACUGCUUUUAUGAGGGAAGAAAUUUUGACGGUACCUCAUGAAUAAGGGGCGGCUAACUACGUGCCAGCAGCCGCGGUAAUACGUAGGCCCCAAGCGUUAUCCGGAAUUACUGGGCGUAAAGCGAUCGAAGGCGGCGGAACAAGUUUGGUGUUAAAGCCCUCGGCUCAACCGAGGAAUCGUGCCGAAAACUGUUCUGCUAGAGGAAUGCAGGGGCAAGUGGAAUUUCUACUGUAGGGGUUAAAUCCGUAGAUAAUAGAAGGAACACCAAAAGCGAAGGCAGCUUGCUGGGCAUUUCCUGACGCUGCGCGAUCGAAAGCGUGGGGAGCGAAACGGAUUAGAUACCCGUGUAGUCCACGCCCUAAACGAUGAACACUCGGUGUGGGAGGGUUUCAAUCCCCUUCCGUGCCUAAGCUAACGCGUUAAGUGUUCCGCCUGGGGAGUACGGCCGCAAGGUUAAAACUCAAAGGAAUAGACGGGGAUCUACACAAGCGGUGGAGCAUCUGGUUCAAUUCGAUAAUAAGCGGGGAACCUUACCGGGGCUUGACAUCCUCAGAAUCUCUACGAAAGUAGGGAGUGCCUUUAUGGAACUGAGUGACAGGUGCUGCAUGGUUGUCGUCAGCUCGUGCCUUGAGGUGUUCGGUUAAGUCCGUUAACGAGCGCAACCCUCAUCGUAUGUUGUUUUUCUCAUGCGAGACUGCCGGUUUCAGACCGGAGGAAGGUGAGGAUGACGUCAAAUCAGCAUGGCCCUUAUGUCCCGGGCUACACAGGUGCUACAAUGGCCAGUACAAUGCGCAGCCAAACCGUAAGGUGGAGCAAAUCGCAUCAAAACUGGUCCCAGUUCGGAUUGAGGGCUGCAACUCGCCCUCAUGAAGUUGGAAUCGCUAGUAAUCGCGCAUCAGCAAUGGCGCGGUGAAUAUGUUCCUAGAUCUUGUACUCACCGCCCGUCAAAUCACGAAAGAUAGGGGCGCCCGAAGGGGUGUUAUCUGCUUUUAGCGGAGCAUCACCACGGUGAAACUAUUGAUUGGGAUUAAGUCGUAACAA